rnacentral:miRNA from 1 species
CUGCCAAUUCAUUUAUUAACUUAAUUGGUAGGUGUCUGUGUGUGUGUUUGUGCGUACACACACACAUACAUAUGCACACAAAAUUGCAUGUGAUACAUCU